AUGUGUACCGUGCCUUUGGAGAAGCCCGCGCUCUGAAACGGACCAAUAUGCUGGCUGGCAGAGACCACGCUCCCACCGAUGACCUCGGGGAGCUGAACUACGCCUACAAUGACCAGCAGCGGAACAGCAGGAGACACGAGGAGGCGAGAAGAGGACACGAUGAGCCCGGCGGGGCUCAGGAGGACCUCUGACAUCAGGAGGCAGCAGCGGUGGCUGAAGAAAAGCAGAAGGCAGUGCACAGAUCGUCUUACCUGUGAGAGGGUACGAGAUGAGCGAGCGGCGGCCUGCCUCUGUGCCAGGAUUAUCGAUGGCUGCUGUCACCGUGACAGAAGGGGCGUCACAGUGGGGACGUCCAGAGAGCACAGCGGAUGGAUCCGAGGUCACGCCCGUCGAGGAGGAGAGGAGGGGCCAGGAGGAGCACGGCAGAGGUCAGGAGGAGGUGCUGCCAUGGGGAGGUGAAAGCAUAGAGCAGAUGAAGCCAGGCUACUUGUGUGUGUUGUAGAGUCUGGGUCAGAGUGUGUGUUCAGUGUGGAGGUUGUGUGUGUGUGUGUGUGUGUGUGUGUGUGCAUGUGUCACUUGAGUGUGUGCUGGUUAGGAAGUGUGUUUGUUAGAGCUGUGUAGGCAGUAGCUGUAAUGUGUGUGUGUGUGUGAUUGUGUAGGCAACAUGUUAGUAGUCAGCACCACCACAGGUUUGUUGUUGUUGUUGUUGAAACAUGUGUACAGUGUAGUGCCUUUACAUGUGGUGUCUGUGUGUAUUAGAAAAUGUAUGUGUGUAGGUUGUUAUGCAUACAUAUGUAUAUGUGUAUACAUGCUCAUUGACUUCAUCAGCCCCUGCUGCUCAUCUUUCCUAUUUAUGGACUGAUGAUAUAUAGAUAUCAUUACAAUCUAAUCACUGUUUCAUCUGCUGCAUGUUUGCUCUGUACUGUAUCAUGUUUGCUCCUCUCUCUCUCUCUCUGUCUCUCUCCCUCCCUCCCUCCCUCCUUCAUCCUCCAUCCUCUCUCUGUCUCCUCUCUCUCCUUCAUCCUCUCUGACUAGCAGCAGGACUGCUUCCCCCUUUAAGUUAA
rnacentral:lncRNA from 1 species